UACGUAGGGGGCUAGCGUUGUCCGGAAUCAUUGGGCGUAAAGCGCGUGUAGGCGGCCCGGUAAGUCCGCUGUGAAAGUCGGGGGCUCAACCCUCGAAAGCCGGUGGAUACUGUCGGGCUCGAGUGCGGAAGAGGCGAGUGGAAUUCCUGGUGUAGCGGUGAAAUGCGCAGAGUAUCAGGAGGAACACCGAUUGCGAAGGCAGCUCGCUGGGACGUUACUGACGCUGAGACGCGAAAGCGUGGGGAGCAAACAGG
rnacentral:rRNA from 1 species